CAAAAACAUCGCCUCUUGAUCAAUUAUAAGAGGUCAAGCCUGCCCAGUGACAUUGUUCAACGGCCGCGGUAUCCUAACCGUGCGAAGGUAGCGUAAUCACUUGUCCUUUAAAUAAGGACUAGUAUGAACGGCUUCACGAAGGCUAUACUGUCUCCUUAAUCUAAUCAAUUAAACUAAUCUCCCCGUGAAGAAGCGGGGAUUCGUCUAUAAGACGAGAAGACCCUAUGGAGCUUUAAACAUCUAAGACAUUUGAUUUUUCCCACUAAACUUCAUGCAACCUAUCAUUUUGUCUUAAGUUUUAGGUUGGGGUGACCACGGAGAAAAAUUAAACCUCCACGUAGAAAGAAAAUUCUUUUCUAAGCAAAAAGCCACAUCUUAACGCAUCAAUAUA
rnacentral:rRNA from 1 species